UGUCAGAGAGGACUUGCACCUUCUCCUUUGAAAGCUGCUAUAGGAGUCAUUCAGCCCUCCUCCAAGGGGGAGACAGAUGGAGCUUAGGAAAAAGUGUCCCUCAUGACCCUUCUGCAGCGGGCUUGCAUUCUGCACGCUUUAUGCCACAAAAGGUCCUGUCCUCCUGCUGCUUGGCCCAUUGCUGGAAAGCCCAGGAGCCAGAGCUGGGUGUCCCGUGGGAAUUCUGCUGUUCUGAGAGGAAAUGCACAUUUACUGUCUUUAGCAGCUUCUUUAAUAAGAUUUGCCAGAAGGGAGGAGUUGAUGCAGGGGGUGUAGCUUGGCCUUGUGCAUAGCAGAGCUGUGCCGGCCAUCCGUGGUGUUCUUGCUGUGGAAGUGCAUGUGCUGUGGAAGUGCAUUUUUUGCUCAGUUCCUGUCCCACCCAAAUGAAUUCUGCUUUUCCAUCGUGCUCACAAAGAGCAGAGGCUCCGAAGGGGAUGUGGAGGGCAGUCCCUUGGAUUUCUGGCUGUGUCAGUGGGAUGGCAGGGCAGGGAACUCAGAGCUGCCAGGUUCUCUUGUGCACAUCCUGGGACACAGCCUCUCAGUCUGGGGCGGCUGAUCCCUCCCGAGCCAGAGCAGGAUAAUUCAUCCCCUCAUGCAGCAGCUUAGGGGGAAGCUGGGAGGGAGAUUUUUGUGUUGACAAAGCACUAAUUUUAAUAAUGACAAAUGGCUGCUCUGGAAUUCAGCGCUAUUCAUAUUCAUGACCCUUCUGCUGCUGAAGCAAAAUCAUUUAUAUGCCUGAAAAUCGCGCUUUUUUAAACUUUUGCUCUCUUUCCGCUCUGCACAUCUGUUUAUACUUUAAUGCUCU